UACGUAGGGGGCAAGCGUUGCUCGGAAUCACUGGGCGUAAAGGGUGCGUAGGCGGGGCUUUAAGUCAGGGGUGAAAUCCUGGAGCUCAACUCCAGAACUGCCUUUGAUACUGAGGAUCUUGAGUACGGGAGAGGUGAGUGGAACUGCGAGUGUAGAGGUGAAAUUCGUAGAUAUUCGGAAGAACACCAGUGGCGAAGGCGGCUCACUGGACUGGUAUUGACGCUGAGGUGCGAAAGCGUGGGGAGCAAACAGG
rnacentral:rRNA from 1 species